UUCCAAUCUUGUCCGCCACUCCGCCGUCUUCUUUCUUUCAAGUUCAACGAAUCGAGAGCUUCACUGCCUAACCAAACUUGUAUCAAGACGGUGUCAUCUAAUGUGAAGUCUGCUGGUGUAUCUGUCGUUGAAUCUAUCGCCGGUGAUUCGUCAGACGAUCUCCACAAAAACCAGAAAGGAGACUAAGAAUGGUCCACUGGCCCAAGUCAUCUCUUUUCUAACAAGCACUAGAUUCAGAUCUGGAUCCAAUUUUACCGAGAUCAUCUGUCCUUGCACCCUUGCUCAUGUGGGUUUUGCUCCUUUUGCACUGGGGAGCUGUGUACAAUUCCUACAAGGAGCAAGAAACCCGCCCCUGUAAAAAUCUUGGAUUGGUAUUAGAUUUUCUUGUGUUGUUUGGUUUCCAUUGGAUCUCAAAAAUGGGAUCCCAUGAAGGUAACAUUAUCAAUGGGAAUGGAGUAUUUGGAAGGGAUAUGGAAAUGUCAGUGCUGCCUUUGGGCACUAAGAAUAAGUACAAAAGAAUGGAUUCUCAAUUGACUGAUGGUGGUGAUGAUGAUUUACAUCAUCAGGUGGAAUUGGAGAAUAGGAGAAAGACUACAAGGAAGUUUGUUUUUGCUUGUGCCGUUUUUGCAUCUCUCAACAAUGUCCUCCUUGGAUAUGGCAAGAUUUCUGUUUUUUCCCAUUCAUGUGUUUACUUUGUUCAAUGAUAUGCCUUAGCACAAUGUUUAAUGGUUCGAGCCCGAA